CAAGAGCGUAUAUUAAAGUUGUUGCAGUUAAAAAGCUCGUAGUUGGAUUUCUGCUGAGGACGACCGGUCCGCCCUCCGGGUGAGCAUCUGGUUCGGCCUUGGCAUCUUCUUGGUGAACGUAUCUGCACUUGACUGUGUGGUGCGGUACCCAGGACUUUUACUUUGAGGAAAUUAGAGUGUUCAAAGCAGGCUUAUGCCGUUGAAUACAUUAGCAUGGAAUAAUAAGAUAGGACCUUGGUACUAUUUUGUUGGUUGCGUACCUAGGUAAUGAUUAAUAGGGACAGUUGGGGAUAUUACUAUUUCGUUGUCAGAGGUGAAAUUCUUGGAUUUACGAAAGAGUAACUACUGCGAAAGCAUUUAUCAAGGAUGUUUUCAUUAAUCAAGAACGAAAGUUAGGGGAUCGAAGAUGAUCAGAUACCA
rnacentral:rRNA from 1 species